UAACAGAAAAUAUUUUGCAGAAAUAUGGC
rnacentral:piRNA from 1 species